GACGAACGCUGGCGGCGUGCUUAACACAUGCAAGUCGAACGGAAAGGCCUUUUCGGAGGUACUCGAGUGGCGAACGGGUGAGUAACACGUGGGUGAUCUGCCCUGCACUCUGGGAUAAGCCUGGGAAACUGGGUCUAAUACCGGAGAGGACCGCACUUUAGUGUGUGUGGUGGAAAGUUUUUUCGGUGUAGGAUGAGCCCGCGGCCUAUCAGCUUGUUGGUGGGGUAAUGGCCUACCAAGGCGGCGACGGGUAGCCGGACUGAGAGGUUGGUCGGCCACAUUGGGACUGAGAUACGGCCCAGACUCCUACGGGAGGCAGCAGUGGGGAAUAUUGCACAAUGGGCGCAAGCCUGAUGCAGCGACGCCGCGUGGGGGAUGACGGCCUUCGGGUUGUAAACUCCUUUCGCCAGGGACGAAGCGUUUUGUGACGGUACCUGGAGAAGAAGCACCGGCUAACUACGUG
rnacentral:rRNA from 1 species